rnacentral:rRNA from 1 species
CAUGCACCGAAGCUGCGGCAGCGAACGUAUCACCCAAGACAACUUUGCGGAGUUGACGAUUGACGGAGCGAAGCGACGUCAAAGCGUUCAUUAAAGUCGAGUUGGCUUAGGGAUACGUUCGUUGGGUAGGGGAGCGUUCUGUAAGCCUGUGAAGGUGGCCUGUGAGGGUUGCUGGAGGUAUCAGAAGUGCGAAUGCUGACAUAAGUAACGAUAAAGCGGGUGAAAAGCCCGCUCGCCGGAAGACCAAGGGUUCCUGUCCAACGUUAAUCGGGGCAGGGUGAGUCGACCCCUAAGGCGAGGCCGAAAGGCGUAGUCGAUGGGAAACGGGUUAAUAUUCCCGUACUUGGUGUUACUGCGAAGGGGGGACGGAGAAGGCUAUGUUGGCCGGGCGACGGUUGUCCCGGUUUAAGCGUGUAGGUGUGUGUUCCAGGUAAAUCCGGUUCACUUUAACACUGAGGCGUGAUGACGAGGCACUACGGUGCUGAAGCAACAAAUGCCCUGCUUCCAGGAAAAGCCUCUAAGCAUCAGGUAACAUCAAAUCGUACCCCAAACCGACACAGGUGGUCAGGUAGAGAAUACCAAGGCGCUUGAGAGAACUCGGGUGAAGGAACUAGGCAAAAUGGUGCCGUAACUUCGGGAGAAGGCACGCUGACACGUAGGUGAAGUGAUUUACUCAUGGAGCUGAAGUCAGUCGAAGAUACCAGCUGGCUGCAACUGUUUAUUAAAAACACAGCACUGUGCAAACACGAAAGUGGACGUAUACGGUGUGACGCCUGCCCGGUGCCGGAAGGUUAAUUGAUGGGGUCAGCGCAAGCGAAGCUCCUGAUCGAAGCCCCGGUAAACGGCGGCCGUAACUAUAACGGUCCUAAGGUAGCGAAAUUCCUUGUCGGGUAAGUUCCGACCUGCACGAAUGGCGUAAUGAUGGCCAGGCUGUCUCCACCCGAGACUCAGUGAAAUUGAACUCGCUGUGAAGAUGCAGUGUACCCGCGGCAAGACGGAAAGACCCCGUGAACCUUUACUAUAGCUUGACACUGAACAUUGAGCCUUGAUGUGUAGGAUAGGUGGGAGGCUUUGAAGUGUGGACGCCAGUCUGCAUGGAGCCGACCUUGAAAUACCACCCUUUAAUGUUU